GCAACGGCUGGGGAGGUUUCCCCAGCUCAGACGUGCAGCAAGGACGCCACAGAUUGCGUCAGGCGGCCGGCAGUGGGCACGGACGAGGGCACCGGUCGUCUCCCCAUCAGCCCCUUUACGGCCUGGGCCCUUCAAGAACUAUGGCGGGCCGGCCCCAGGAGGGUGUCUUUCAAGCAGUCCUGCCAGUGCACCUGGCCGAGUCACUGCCACCCCAGGCAGCACGGACUCUUUACCAGGUCCAGUGCAGGACACGUCCAGAAGGAGGGCUCUGGGCGGCGUAAAUGCCCGUCUCUGGGGUUUCGUCCGGGAGCACGUACUCUGGAGAAGCGUCCGAGGCACCUCCGCCUUCCGCACAGGUGCCUCACGCUGUUGGCGCGCGUGAGCAAAUGGAGAAACUGAGUCACGGGGCUGACAAGGUGUUCUGCGGAAGCUGAAAGACUGAGUCAGACCGGGCGGUCAGAGCUUGCGGGUCACGUGAGGGCUACGCCCCAGGCCAGGUGUGGGACUUCCUGAGCCCAAAUAGGCUCCGCGAAAAGCAGGUCAGAGCGCUUGGAACUGCUGUUGUCACUUUGGCAGUGGUGUCCCGACCUGCGGAGAGAAGCCGUAAAGACAGAAAAGUCAGGUCAGUCCUGCCCCAAGGCGAUGGGUUUCGUUCUGCCUGGACAGGAGAGUUUUGCAACAAUGGUUGGGUUAAUCUUAGGCACUGAGGCUCUGGAAGUGGAGGGCAAGGAGGGCCCAAUAAGGCCCCCCAGAGGGCUGUGAGCAGCUACCGGCCUUCGCCCUUGGCUACUGGCUUCCCAACCCACAGAGGGUCCGCAGGUCGCCUGGGGUUGACCCCCUAAGCAGCAGCCAGGGGAAAGGGAAACAGAGGGAGCAGAAGCCCUCGCAGAACUGGCUCCGAGGGACUGCUGCUUAGGUCAGGGGACUGUUGAGGAAUAGGGAGAGCCCUCUGGCAGGGAAAAGGGGCAGUAUUGCUUCUCAUUCGAUCCUAAUUAGAUAUUUAAACUAAAAAUUAUCUGCACACUUAAAGGAAUCAUUCCAAAGUUGCCUAAGAUAUAAUCUCCAGUAGAAAUGUUUCACUAUGUUGUGUAUAGUAUGAAGCUAGAUCUUUAAAAACAAGUUAUAUAUUAAUAUUAGUAAAAGAAAUAAUAUGGAAUAAUAUACAUAAACUGUUAGCAGAGCCUGUCACCAGAGGAGGACUUUCCAUAUUAAAUGUAAAUAUUUAUGGAAAAGUGGGUUUCUUACAAGGAGCAUGAAUUACUUUUCCCACUGGAAAAAAUUACAGGCAAAUGGUUGUUUCUGGUUAUUUCUUUCUCCUUCCCUCCAUUCCCCAUGUUCACUCUCCCCUCUUCUCCUCUCUCUAUCCUGUCUCCUUUAGUCCACCUCCUUUGCUGCUUAGGGAAAAUAUCCCCCCUCCAUCUACCACCUUUGAUAGUGGCGUGGGAGGUGAGAAACUGGUACUAACACAUUGCUGAAAGUAUCAGAAUUGGCACAAACAACCCUUUGAAAAAGCAGCUUGGUGAUACAAAUCAAGAAUCAUAAAAUGUCCCUGCCCUUUGACCCAAUACUUCCACUCCAUGAAAUUAUUCAAAAUAUGGGAAAAGCCAUAUUCCUCAAGAUUUUUCAAUGCAUUGUUACUUAUUAUAGCUAAAACAAAAGAAGAAAUGCUACUUAAAUAUCCAAAAAUAGCUAAACGUUUAAGUAAAUUAUCCACAUGGUGGAGAAGUACACACACACAUGUAUACACGACUUAAAAAUCCUGCAAUAAAUGAUUAGUUACAUAAAUUUGAUAUAGACAUAAGAUUAAAUCUGUGCAGUCAUUAGAAACAAUUAUGUAUGACUAUACUUAUUGACUUGGAAACCUAUCUAUGAUGCAUAUAUAAUUAAGUAAAAAACAGAUUAUAAAAUAACCUAAAAUAACUUUUUAAACUUAAAAAGUAUAUAUGUGUUUAUUUCCCAAAAAAAAAAUCUAGGGGCUUCCCUGGUGGCGCAGUUGGUUGAGAGUCCACCUGCCGAUGCAGGGGACACGGGUUCAUGCCCCGGUCCGGGAAGAUCCCACAUGCCACGGAGCGGCUGGGCCCGUGAGCCAUGGCCGCUGAGGCUGCGCGUCCGGAGCCUGUGCUCUGCAACGGGAGAGGCCACAACAGUGAGAGGCCCGCGUACCGC
ensembl:lncRNA